UUUAACUGGAGAGUUUGAUCCUGGCUCAGAAUCAACGCUGGCGGCGUGCCUAACACAUGCAAGUCGAGCGCGAAAGGGGAGCAAUCCCCGAGUAGAGCGGCGAACGGGUGAGUAACGCGUGGGUAAUCUACCUCCGAGUGGGGAAUAACAGCGGGAAACUGCUGCUA
rnacentral:rRNA from 1 species